rnacentral:tRNA from 1 species
GAAGUAUGGCACCCAAAGUUAAGCUUCUAACUUAAACUUUAAGCAGUGAAAUUCUGUUUAUACUUCU